UCUUGGAAUUUCUUCCUGAAGCACAGCAGCUGAAGCAGUCGAAUGUUACCAAACCAGAAGAAAAAAAAAAUGUGAACUGGAAUGAAUUACUAGUCUGGAAGACCAGAAAAAUUUUGCAAUUAGAACAGAUGUUAGACAUUUAUCAAGUGCUUGGGGUUAAAAAACAACAACAUCAAGCUUCACUAGGUCUGUAUGUCCCAGCAGUAAGGUAAGUUGCUUUUGGAAUACUGCAAUUGUUGCAUUACCUGUUAAUACUCAGGUUACAUUAGCUGUUAAUAUUGUUUUGCAAUAUAUACAGGGCAUAGUGUUGUACAAAUAGAAUAAUAAUAAUAAUAUAGAAUUAUUUGGGUGCACAGUUAGGAUGGAAAUUCACUCUGCAGUACAAACUGACUCUUUGGUGAAAGUUUCCCUCCACACAAGAGGGACAGUUACAAAGAACAGCAAUAAUGGGAGUUUGUGUCCUGUUUGAGGCAUUUCUCCCGAAAGCUCGUGGACCUGAUUGUGCAAAGUCACUUCGUGUAAUUGUUCCCUGGUUUUGUAAAACCUAAGCUGCUCUUGGCUGAUUUAGUGUCAGGAGAUAGCUAGUGACCUGUGUACAUCUUAAUUCUAAACUAAGGUUUGAAUCUUUUGCAGGUAGGGGGGUGUCACAGGUGGGUUAUCAAGUCAUCAAUGUGGGGUUAACUAAAAUAGUUUUAUUAAUGAUGACAA